GAUGAACGCUGGCGGCGUGCCUAACACAUGCAAGUCGAGCGAUUCUCUUCGGAGAAGAGCGGCGGACGGGUGAGUAACGCGUGGGUAACCUGCCCUGUACACACGGAUAACAUACCGAAAGGUAUGCUAAUACGAGAUAAUAUGCUUUUAUCGCAUGAUAGAAGUAUCAAAGCUCCGGCGGUACAGGAUGGACCCGCGUCUGAUUAGCUAGUCGGUAAGGUAAUGGCUUACCAAGGCGACGAUCAGUAGCCGACCGGAGAGGGUGAGCGGCCACAUUGGAACUGAGACACGGUCCAAACUCCUACGGGAGGCAGCAGUGGGGAAUAUUGCACAAUGGGCGAAAGCUUGAUGCAGCAACGCCGCGUGAGCGAUGAAGGCCUUCGGGUCGUAAAGCUCUGUCCUCAAGGAAGAUAAUGACGGUACUUGAGGAGGAAGCCCCGGCUAACUACGUGCCAGCCGCCGCCGUAA
rnacentral:rRNA from 1 species